rnacentral:tRNA from 1 species
GUUUUAGUAGUUUAAGAAAAACUUUGGUCUUGUAAACCAAAAAUAAGAAUUUAAUCUUUUAAAACUU